UACGAACCGUCCAAACGUUAUUCGGAAUCAUUGGGCUUAAAGGGUGCGUAGGCGGCGUGGCAAGUUGGGUGUGAAAUCCCUCGGCUCAACCGAGGAACUGCGCCCAAAACUGCCAUGCUCGAGGGAGACAGAGGUAAGCGGAACUGAUGGUGGAGCGGUGAAAUGCGUUGAUAUCAUCAGGAACACCAGUGGCGAAAGCGGCUUACUGGGUCUCUUCUGACGCUGAGGCACGAAAGCUAGGGUAGCGAACGGGAUUAGAUACCCCUGUA
rnacentral:rRNA from 1 species